rnacentral:rRNA from 1 species
CAGUCGCCGCGGUAAUACGAGGGGGGCAAGCGUUGUUCGGAAUUAUUGGGCGUAAAGGGCGCGUAGGCGGUUUGGCAAGUUUGGUGUGAAAUCUUCGGGCUCAACUCGAAGUCUGCAUCGAAAACUGCCGGGCUUGAGUAUGGGAGAGGUGAGUGGAAUUUCCGGUGUAGCGGUGAAAUGCGUAGAUAUCGGAAGGAACACCUGUGGCGAAAGCGGCUCACUGGACCAUAACUGACGCUGAGGCGCGAAAGCUAGGGGAGCAAACAGGAUUAGAUACCCGCGUAGUCCCUGUCUCUUAUAC